GAUGAAGAACGCAGCGAAAUGCGAUAAGUAAUGUGAAUUGCAGAAUUCAGUGAAUCAUCGAAUCUUUGAACGCACAUUGCGCCCGCCAGCAUUCUGGCGGGCAUGCCUGUUCGAGCGUCAUUUCAACCCUCAAGCUCUGCUUGGUGUUGGGGCCCUACGGUUGACGUAGGCCCUUAAAGGUAGUGGCGGACCCUCUCGGAGUCUCCUUUGCGUAGUAACUAACGUCUCGCAUUGGGAUUCGGAGGGACUCUUGCCGUAAAACCCCCAAAUUUUCUAAUGGUUGACCUCGGAUCAGGUAGGAAUACCCGCUGAACUUAAGCAUAUCAAUAAGCGGAGGA
rnacentral:misc_RNA from 1 species